CCAGGACAGACUGGGAGAAUGCUUUGGGGAAGGACCAAGCGUGAAGGUCAGCAGCCACACCCCACUGCUCUGACUGCUCACAGCCCCAAACAUCCACCCCGCAGGUGCUGGCAGCUGUGAGCUCCUGCUAUGCCAGGUCACAGUAGUUGUUUGGAUACACCUAGAGCUCAAGGUUUCCCAGGAAGACGUCACGAUGGUUAACUUGCAGCAAUGUUCUCUCUGCAAAUAUCUGCUGUGAUCAAGGUUAAGCUCUUUGUGCUUGAGUGGAUUUUAAUCUGAGCAAAGAAUGUGUGGGCAAAGCUCUGCUGAUCCAGAGCCCUCCAGGGACUCCCUGGGACCGAUCCCAAGCAGCUGGGUGCCUCAUUAGGGUGUGAAUGAGGCUUUGCUGCAGAAAAGCUGCAGAAAAGACAAUUGCACCUCCCUGGCUUAUUGAUUUCUGUUGCGAUGGUAACAGCUCACACAGAUCUUCGCUCCAACACAGUCACCACUUCCUCCUGCUUCGGGCUAUCCCUUCCACACCUGUGCAAUUCCAGCCAGGCUGGCAGGCUGUGCGUCAAUCCCAGCUGAUUCCCAAUGGUUUUCCUGUCUCCAGGUCGCAGGAUCUGUCAGCAGGUGGAGCUUCACGGCAGCGCUGGCACGGGCAGCCCCUGGCAGGCUCCUCACAGGAAGAUUGAUGCACUCCCACAGCACAGCAGCUCAUCAGCCCCAAACAGCUCCACCUAGAAAUCAGUGUCCCUGACAAACUGCCACCCUGGAGCACACACACCUCAGCCCAGCGUUUCCAGAAUACAGAUUUUUUUCCCAGUGUGGUGACAGGCUCCUGGAGAGGUUCCUCCUCAGCCUGGGCACAGGAAAGUUGGCUAUGAACCUACUGCUUUAAUUUGGCUUACACCCCACUGUCAGUUUAAAGGAGAACAAACCUGGAUACCACCAGCAAUACUAAAAUAAAGAGGUUUCAAGUGGAAAGAUUUAAUUAAUGAUUUGUAUGUUGGCAGGAAUUAACUGAAGAACAUUCUGGGAACCCUCCCAGAUGACUCCAGUGCUGCAGGGACUUGUCCCCUUCAGCCAAGUUGGGAAAACUGUUUGACCCCAGGUCUGGCACGAAUGGACGUUUUCCCCACCACUUCUCAGCUGCUUCACAUCUCAAUGUCAGAUGUCCCUCAGCAGCUCUGAGCUUCCCUUAAAGCUCCACUGAACAUAUCCUUUUCUGCAGCCAGUGCUGACAGCCAGGACACAAGUGCCUCUGCCCAUUCCCUGGAUUUUCAGCUCUCCUUGUCCUGGCACGAGGGGACAGCAGCUGUGCUGGGAAGCAGGAUGAGACGUGCCCAGGGAUCCGGACAGGAUGAGGAUGACAUCUUAGGGCUGGGGAAAGGUGCAAACCUCUCACCCCCACUCUUGUUAGGGUGGAAUUACUCCGCACCUCAAAAACUUUGUAACAACCCAGAGGACAGGGCUGGCAUCAAUGUCUCAUGGAAACACAGAUGGAACUGGUGAAGGAACUGCUUGGCCAAAACUGCAGUGCAGAGUAACAGCCCAAAAAUGAAACCAGCCCUGCUAACAGCCCAGAUCACUCCCCUACCACUGGUGGCUUCUUUCAGACCUACCCGGAAUUCACUUCACCUUAUAAUAUUCAAGGAGCACAGAAGCAUGAAAUUUGAUUUCUUUCUUCUGAAGAUGCUGGAGAUUAUUUUAAUUCUAACCUGGUAUAGCUAAAAGAAAGCUCUUAUUCAGUGGUUUAAUAUAAUGUCUUUUAGUAUCUGUUGCAGCAAUACAAUCUCUGCUUUCUUUCCUAUAAAUGUACUAAUCUCACCAAAAGAUAUAAUUUGAACAGUAGAAUGAAGUGGGAUAAAAUAUGCAGCAGCAGGCUAAUGUCCUUUUCAAACAAGAACCUGCUCUGAGCUAUGUGCACUCUGUUCCAUCAGAUUAGACAGAGCAACAAUUCAAAUCUCAGCCCCAAUAUCAGCAUGAAGAGCAGAAAAUGUUCUUUCACCCUUCCCUGGAACUUGGUAUGAGCAGAUGCACAGUGGAGAGAGGCAGCAGCAAAAGCAGCCAGCAGGGGAGGUGAGAUCUAUCAGAGGGGACACCAGAUAAAGAGGGGAGCCUCAGGGAACUGCCUUGGCAGAGAGAGCCAGAUACACACAGAAAUGAUUCACUGGGUUAAAAACAAAAACAAAAGCAGCAGGGAUAACGGGGCAGAACAUACAGUGGGAAACACAUCCAGAAGAUAUACACAUUUAUUGCCUGCUUCAAACACAUUUCUAGGGGGCUAACAGGCCAAAUUAUUUCUGCUUGAACUCAACAUUAAUUAAGAAAGACUUCAACUGCAUGAGAACAUGCAAGAGAAAUACCACUAUUCCCAGUUAAAUGAUGAAAAAAUUAGGUGAACACUGCUGGCACUAUAAAUAAAAGCACAAUCACUCCCUGCCUGGUGUCUGGAACUAGAAACACUCUCCCAACAAUGAGGAAAGAUGAAAUGACUGAAAAAACACUGCCUCAAGUACCCCCACAGGACCCCAGUGUCUUCCACAGCAGGGUGAGACCACCCCAGGGAUGGGACUAAUGCCAGUAUUUAAUAAAAAUCAAUUUUAAAGUACAACAGCUUUAUUUCCACCUGGCAAGUAAGUGCUGUGGCCAUAUCAGUACUGCCCACAGAAGAUUAGUCAGUAGUUCAAGACCUACACAAUAAAGGAUUGUUUGGUUUGGUUUUUGUCCCCUUAAAAUAAGACUUCACUGUUCUUGCAGAGACAGGGAGAACACUUUGGCUGUAACUAUUUUGCCUCUGGAGAAAUUAAAAGAAAGAAAUUAAGAAAUAAUUUGGCAAAGUAGACAAAGGAAGUACUUUUGUUCAUUUAAAGAAAAAUCUUAUUUUAGGGCAAUUAAA